CAAUAUUCUGUAAAAGUCUCUAAUUCUGUAUUUGGUAUUUGGAAGUCCAGUGAAGCCCCUUGAGGCUGCAGGUCCUCCUCCCUCUCCCCGAAGAUUACUAGACAACAUAAUCUGCAGGUCUGUGGGAAGCAGGAAGUGUCAGGUCCACUUCUGUGUGCAUUGCGCCCAUCAAUGCUGCACAUAGGUAGAUGAACAAGUACCAACUUUUCUGGAGAAAGGUCAGUUCAUUGGCGCCUGUGUCUGCUGAGUGAAUCAUCAGUCCUAUUGGAACCUAGUAGAGUGGAGGUUGCAAAUGUGUGAUUUGGUUGGCCUGGAUGUGACUGUCUGGCUCCCACAGUGUUUAAUAAGGGGAUGGUCUUGCUCUGUGGUCUCUCGCCCACGCUGGAGUGCAGUGGCACAAUCAUAGCUCACUGCAGCCUUGAAUUCCUGGGCUCAAGGAAUGCUUCUGCCUCAGUCUUCUGAACAGCUGAGAUCACAGAGGAGAAAACUCAUCUAUAAAACCAAAGAUGUUAGAUUACUUUCCCAAAGUCAUGCUGUGGGAGAGGAGAGGUGGAUUCAGUCCCUUGUCCUUGACAAGGAGGAUUCCACCCCUUGUCCGUUACCCCAGCGACCCACCUGAAUCGGGUGUGGAACUCUGUACGGUCUCUGUUACUGGCUCCUGGUAAGGAGACCCCCUUCUAAUGGAAGGGACGGUGCAGACGAUAAAGCCCAUGGAAAGCAUCUCUUUCUUUCUUUCUUUCUUUCUUUCUUUCUUUGAGAGUUGCUCUUGCCCAGGCUGGAGUGCAAUGGCACGAUCUCGGCUCACUGCAACCUCUGCCUCCCGGGUUCAAGAGAUUCUUCUGCCUCAGCCUCCUGAGUGAGCUGGGAUUACAGGUGUGCGCCACCAUGCCCAGCUUAUUUUUGUAUUUUUAGUAGAGAAGGGGUUUCACCAUGUUGGCCAGACUGGUCUCGAACUCCUGACCUCAGAUGAUCCGGCUGCCUCGGUAUCCCAAAGUUCUGGGAUAACAGGCGUGAGUCACCGUGUCCAGCCGGAAAGUGUCUCUUUUUACGCUCCGCCAGCCUGGGUUUUACACUCAGCCAGCCUGAGUUUGGUGGCGCCAGCAGCAGGCGCUGUGGUCCCCGGCGUCCCUCCCGGACCUCCCGCCGCGCUU
rnacentral:lncRNA from 13 species